CUGCCAAUCCGUACUCCAUAGCCGAUAUCAUGAAACUAUACAGUUCUGUAUACCAGAGCUUCCGUAUUUUGGCGUAUAUGUAUAAUAUAUGAGAGAUGUAUUCCGGACUUUUGCGGUGAUGGAUAUAUGUAUUUGUUAGGGAUCUAUUGGCUGUAAUGUGAGUUCAGAUCUGAGUUGAUAUGCGAGUGUUUUGAGAUCAGCUCCAUUGCUUUUCUAUGGUUUUAAGUUUUUGCUCUUUUUUUUUUUUUUUUUUUUUUUUUUUUUUUUUUGGUGUUUGGUGGGGAUGGUUGAGACACUGGAGGCAGCGGUUAAUCGAUCUGUUCCUGAAACUCAAAACUCAAAGGAUAAAUUAGCGUAACAGGAAUCGAUCGAUAAACCUCUGCAUCCAGCGCUUUACCCCUCUUUGCUUGCCUACAUAUUUCAUGUUUCUAGUUUUUUACUUCCCUUUUAAUGCUUUUUUUUUGGUGGGGGCUUUGGUAUUGAUGUUUAAAGAACAAAUUGUGUAGUUUUUUUUUUUCUUUGUGAGGUAUGGAAUUGUUGUGUAUAUGAAAAAGGGUUAUAGGAGUUUGGUUGAAACUUCAUUUUUAAUCAUUUUGGCUAUAGAUAUGAUAAUGAUAGUUUUUUGUUAUAAGAUUGCUAGAAUUUUUAUGGCUAGAUUUUAGUUCAUCAAGAUUUACUAAGUCAACCCUGUAUGGAGUACCUUCUUUGAGAUAGGUUAGUUUACUCAUUAUCUUUUUGUUUCUGGUAAAAAAAUUAACAGUUUUAUUUAUCUUGCUCUUGUGGUUUGCAGAUUUGGUUGGCCAAGUUAUUAACUAUUGCUCAUAUGAUAAUUGUGAUACCUUUCUUGAUUUGCUUGUUGUGCAUCAAUAAAUCUGCAGAAUUCAUGGCAAAAAAAAAUUGCUUAUUUUUGUCUUCCAUUGAAUGCAGGCACCUAUAUGGAUGUAAAUCAUCAUCAUGCUUUUGAUAUUUAUUAGGUAAUAGCUCUUCACAGUUACGGUGUAAUGUUUCAGAACAAAAUUUGUAACUCUACAAUAAGAAUUCUAUAGUGUUGGUUCAGUUUCCUUUUCCAGUAGCACUCUAUGUGGUUUUGAAGUUAGAUGUGCUAUGCUCUAAAGGGGUAUGUGAUUCUGAGACUGCUGCUCACAAUCUCACCACCCACAUCUUGUCGCACAUGGCACAUCGUGUUUGUGAACAGAGUUCAGAUGACAAAUGCAAAAAUCAAAUUCCAACCUCUUUUGUUGUCACAAGUAACUCUUCAAGCAGGAAGAGUUUCAUGUUGAUCCGCAUAGUGCAUUGAAUCUUAGA